rnacentral:misc_RNA from 1 species
GCAAACUUGGUCAUUUAGAGGAAGUAAAAGUCGUAACAAGGUUUCCGUAGGUGAACCUGCGGAAGGAUCAUUAUUGAAUGUUGACUUGAUAGGUUGUCGCUGGUCCUGUAAAACAGCAGGGCAUGUGCACGCCUGUCUUGACUUCAAUUCAUCCACCUGUGCACCUUUUGUAGUCUUUUUGGGGGGCUGGGGAAACUGCAGCUCAGGCUGCCAGUGAACUGCCCCACUGAAGGCUAUGUUUUUCUACAUAUACCAUUAGAACGUCAUUAGAAUGUUGUCAAUGGGCUCUUGUGGCCUAUAUAAAAUCUAUACAACUUUCAGCAACGGAUCUCUUGGCUCUCGCAUCGAUGAAGAACGCAGC